AGUUCUGAUGCAGUUUGAGAGCCUGGUGGACAGGACUCACUUGCUCGUGUGGACAACCGACCCCUGGGCAUGUCAACAUGGAGCAUCGGACAGUGUGACCAUGAUGGCAUAGAAGAGCCCCAGUUUUGAAUCACCCUAGUCCUUCAAAGGGGGCUUCAUUGGAGGUGUUCCAACGGCACCCCAACGUAGGAUUGUCCUGAAGCCCAGCUGUGAUUCAGAGAGCUCCGCCGUGUGAGCUCUGAGUGCACCCGGACCCCCGUCCCGGGUCGGCUGCCAGCAAGAUGUCAACAGCUCUCUCUAGAGUGAGCGCACUUCCCAGGAGCACAGCUGAGGGACUCAAAGAGCAAAGUCCUCCUCCUCCAAGGAACGCGCAGCCCGUCCCGCUGCGGGUGGGGAGAAAGGGCUCCCGCAGGCCCAGGCUGGCCCUGCCCAGGCGCAAGACGCCGAGGACGUCGCCGUGGAAAUUCCGUGCUCACGUUCAUUCAAGAAUAAUGAUUGUAGGCUUUCGUCCAAGUCUCAUAUUUAAGACAGAUCAAUAAAAAUGCCGAGCCACA